CCUUCGGGAGCUGACGAGUGGCGGACGGGUGAGUAACGCGUAGGAAUCUGCCUUAUAGUGGGGGACAACGUGGGGAAACCCACGCUAAUACCGCAUACGCCCUACGGGGGAAAGCGGGGGCUCUUCGGACCUCGCGCUAUGAGAUGAGCCUGCGUUAGAUUAGCUAGUUGGUAGGGUAAAGGCCUACCAAGGCGACGAUCUAUAGCUGGUCUGAGAGGACGAUCAGCCACACUGGGACUGAGACACGGCCCAGACUCCUACGGGAGGCAGCAGUGGGGAAUAUUGGACAAUGGGCGCAAGCCUGAUCCAGCAAUACCGCGUGUGUGAAGAAGGCCUUAGGGUUGUAAAGCACUUUCAAUGGGGAGGAAAACCUGCCGGUCAAUACCCGGUAGCUUGACAUUACCUGUAGAAGAAGCACCGGCUAACUCCGUGCCAGCAGCCGCGGUAAUACGGAGGGUGCGAGCGUUAAUCGGAAUUACUGGGCGUAAAGCGUGCGUAGGCGGUUCGUUAAGUCAGAUGUGAAAGCCCCGGGCUCAACCUGGGAACUGCAUUUGAAACUGGCGGACUAGAGUUUAGUAGAGGGGAGUGGAAUUUCAGGUGUAGCGGUGAAAUGCGUAGAUAUCUGAAGGAACACCAGUGGCGAAGGCGACUCCCUGGACUAGAACUGACGCUGAGGUACGAAAGCGGGGUAGCAAACAGGAUUAGAUACCCUGGUAGUCCACGCCGUAAACGAUGUCAACUAGCCGUUGGUCCUAUUUACAGGAUUAGUGGCGCAGCUAACGCAUUAAGUUGACCGCCUGGGGAGUACGGCCGCAAGGUUAAAACUCAAAUGAAUUGACGGGGGCCCGCACAAGCGGUGGAGCAUGUGGUUUAAUUCGAUGCAACGCGAAGAACCUUACCUACCCUUGACAUCCAUAGAAUC
rnacentral:rRNA from 1 species